AUUGAACGCUGGCGGCAGGCCUAACACAUGCAAGUCGAGCGGAUGACGGGAGCUUGCUCCUUGAUUCAGCGGCGGACGGGUGAGUAAUGCCUAGGAAUCUGCCUGGUAGUGGGGGACAACGUUUCGAAAGGAACGCUAAUACCGCAUACGUCCUACGGGAGAAAGCAGGGGACCUUCGGGCCUUGCGCUAUCAGAUGAGCCUAGGUCGGAUUAGCUAGUAGGUGAGGUAAUGGCUCACCUAGGCGACGAUCCGUAACUGGUCAGAGAGGAUGAUCAGUCACACUGGAACUGAGACACGGUCCAGACUCCUACGGGAGGAAGCAGUGGGGAAUAUUGGGCAAUGGGCGAAAGCCUGAUCCAGCCAUGCCGCGUGUGUGAAGAAGGUCUUCGGAUUGUAAAGCACUUUAAGUUGGGAGGAAGGGUUGUACGUUAAUACCGUGCAAUUUUGACGUUACCGACAGAAUAAGCACCGGCUAACUCUGUGCCAGCCGCCGCCGUAAUAC
rnacentral:rRNA from 1 species